UACGUAGGGUGCGAGCGUUAAUCGGAAUUACUGGGCGUAAAGCGUGCGCAGGCGGUAAUGUAAGACAGAUGUGAAAUCCCCGGGCUUAACCUGGGACCUGCAUUUGUGACUGCAUUGCUGGAGUGCGGCAGAGGGGGAUGGAAUUCCGCGUGUAGCAGUGAAAUGCGUAGAUAUGCGGAGGAACACCGAUGGCGAAGGCAGGUCUCUGGGCUGACACUGACGCUCAUGCACGAAAGCGUGGGGAGCAAACAGG
rnacentral:rRNA from 1 species